UGCAGUUUGCAGCCUUCAGCUCAAAGCUAACAUUUAGCUACAAAUAGCCCUUUAAUGCUAGCUAAAGUUUUGUCUCAGCUAGUGCUAAGACAGGCUUGUGAUUUAUUUUCAAAUAACGAAUUGGCAAAAAGUAAGGUAAUACUAUCUUUACUAAAUACAUAUAUACAAAUAAACUCUGAGAUUAACUCUCUAUCCGUUAAUAAUUAAUAUUAAUUUGUACGUCGAUAGAUUGGAUGUGUUUGAUACAUGUACACUGACAUGACUACUGGGAGGUGUUUAAUGUAAGACAGCUGUACAGCUAUACCACAUUUCCUGGAUGCACUGAUGAUACAAAACAAGCGCUCCUUGACAGCCGGACGGAGGAACGGCACAGAGACGCUGAUAAGUGGCAGCGUGGAUUCAAGGAAAAGGAUUUUUGAUGGCUACAAGAAGAAGGAAACCGCCACUACAGGAUGCAGUUGAAUAUGCCAUCAGGGGUGUGGACAAGAUGGCAGAACUGGAAGUUCAAUAUAUUAACUCAUUUAAAGGUCGAGGGGUGUUUGCCAAAGCCCAUUUCAGCAAAGGAGACUUUGUGGUAGAGUACAGGGGCCAGCUAAUAAAUCAUGAAGAAUCAGUCAGGAGGAGGAAGAUCUAUCACAGAGCAUGCACUGUUUUCAUGUUUGACUUCACAUUAAAAGAAAAGACAUGGUGUAUCGAUGCAACCCGAGAAGAUGGCAGCUUUGGACACUCGUCAAUGAUGACCACAAGCAUCCAAAUUGCAAAAUGAAGAGGAUCAUAACAGAGGCCAAACCACACCUCUGUCUGUUUGCGUUGAGGGACAUUCAGCCAGGAGAAGAAAUAACAUACAACUACGGUGGAAAUGAUUGGCCAUGGAGGAAACAGACAGAGGAACAGUCAUGUGCUGCUGAUCCCUGUGACACUGAAGACCCUAGAACAGCAGAGAAGAUGGCUGAGAGUCCUUCAUCCUCUGUCAUGCAGACAGAGGAACAGUCAUGUGCUGCUGAUCCCUGUGACACUGAAGACCCCAGAACAGCAGAGAAGAUGGCUGAGAGUCCUUCAUCCUCUUCAUGCAGGACUCGGAUGAACCAGAAAUUGUUCUAUCAACAAACAGAGUUGGAAUAAUGUCUCACCUUGUAGACUACUCAGAUUCUGAUGAAGCUCAGGGUCCAUGCACCAGCCCUUCCCAGCUAAAUGAAAGCUGCCAGAUGCAGAGUCCUAUGUCUGAAUAUGAUCCUACCCUCUCCGACCAGGACAGACAGUGUAUUCCAAGGUUGAGGAGGACCAAGAGCCUCCUCUUGGAGAUGAAAGGACAGAUUGAUUUUGAUUCAGAUAAGCUUUUUGAUCCCACCUCAGAUGACAGUGGAGAAGAGUACACUCCUAAGAGUGGUCAAGAUUCCUCCAUGUGACCCUGAGGCAGCCUAUGAGUCAGACUCACUUGAGAAUCCGGUCACAACAGAGAGCGAGACAACAGGGCCAGAUGUGAGCUCACCACAGCAGGACACUGUGACACCCUCACAGACACAUCUUAAAUCACAAAUCACUAAAAAGGGCGACAGCAUUCCAAAAGGAUGUGGGAGAAAGAGGAGGUUGCUGCUGUGGAAAGGCACAUGAUGUCUUUCAUCACAUCAUGUCACGUUCCUGGAAAGGCCACAUGUGAUAAGUGCCUUAACAUGGAAAAAACAGCCCUUAAGAACAGGAAUUGGCUAGCCAUUAAGUUUUAUGUUAAAAAUCGCAUAACAGCUCUGAAGAAGAAAAUUUAGUUUAAAGUCGUAGUUGCUAAAAGUGUGUUUCUGU